UUGCCCCAUCUAUUAUAUGAGGACAAAAGUUAGAAAAAAUCUCACGGAACAGGGUAAACUUAUGGAAAGAUUCAGCCUACCCUGACAACCUACCGCUCUCGUCAAUGAUGGUGCAUACAGGCUCGUAGGGGGCUAGUCGCUAGGUGGCCCAGGUGCUGUGCUGAGCUGAGCUGCUGAUGGCCACAUUUAUCAUGGCGUCGUAGCGGCUAGUUAUAUCACGGCAGCCGAACGUGGCAGACCUUUAUUUUUGUAGGUGAAAUCCAAGGGAGGAACUGCAAAUGCUCGGCGCCAUCUUGUACGAACGAUGUGGUCUGGCGGACACCUUACCAAGGUUUUUAACUUGUGCAUCGUAACGAUUUUGAAUUGGGUAAGUUGCAAGUCGGUAGAUUUGCUCUGCAGUUUCCCGGAUACCAGCACCCUGCUUCGCGAGAACUACUCUACGUUGUUCUGGGGGGCUUAGACGAACAUCUGAAUCCGAUUUUGAAGAAGUCUUGCAUCGAUGGACACUGACAAAAUAUAGGAAGCUGCACAUGAAUGUUGGGUAUUUUAUCAUAAGUAGAAUACAGAUAGAUUCUGUAGUAGUAGAUCUCUUUAGUUGGGUAUUGAAAUUGGCUUUGGUUUGUAUGGGGUCUGAUGAGGUCUCAGUUGCAUUUGAUCCUACUUGUUAUUUAUCACUGCCAAUGCCAGUCGAAAAGGAAGUACCAGUUGACCUGUAUCUGGCUAACAUGGACCUUUUAGCAGAAAUUUUUCUGCUUUCAAGGGAUUCAAAGAGUUUGCAGAAUAUUAUGUCUCUAGGAUUCCACAGUUUUAGGUAAUUCAAUUGACAAGAAAUUUACACUGAUUUUUGUUUUAUUUUUCUAAAGGCAGAUUCUUAAUUAUAAAGGAUUGGGAAAGAAAAUUGACGGAGGCUCAGUGCCAAAAAAAUUAUGGUAGUUGGAAUGAUUACCGAAGCUCUUCGGAUUCGUUUAUUUCACUCGUUAUGGUAUUUAAAGAAAAUAAACGUGUACCUGUGCCCCUUUGUAUCUGUGACCCGAUUUCCUCUUCACUUGCGAUAAUUCUGCAGCGGGUCAUGCAGAUACUGUGAUCAGCAGAAAAAGUUGGAAGUGCGCUGCCCGGAAAGCAAAUCUGGGGUAAAAGAAAAAAACUUAUUCCAACUAGUAAGCCAUUCCCAAAUUCAACCAACAAAAAGGAAAAGGUGGAAGGAAAAACUUCGUUCUCUGGUAGUGUUUUAGUUAAAAUCCUUUUUGUGCAAAUUCAUUUUUGAAAUUGUUUACCUCAUUUUCGAAUGGUUCCGUUCACAUUUGUUGUUCAUGUGAGAUUUUAUGUUUACCAGUUACUGCAUUAUAUUGACCACUAUUGCAAGAUGUUUGUUUAGGAAUAACUACUGUUUUGUUUAUCUGGAAUGUUGUGUGGGAGUCCAUCAGGAAUUGCUGGUCUGCAGUAAAUUUGUCAGGCUAGGUGAUGAAGAUCAAUGAAUCAGAAAAUGUUUUGCAUGGGUGGUGAAUGUUCUGACAGUUUUAACAGUUGUGAUGUGGUGUAUUUCACUUCCACGCAUCAUGGUGUUUUUAUCUAUCAGUUGAAUUGUAUGGUUAAUUUUCUGUUCGUGUAACCUCAUUUCCUCUUGAAUCAUAUAGUAGAAAUUGGUGACCUGAAACAAUGAACAUGGAAAAAUCACCUGUGCCAACGUUGACGAUGUUUGAUUGAUGAAGUGCUGGAAACUAAAAUUAAUUUUCUUUACAAUUUGGUUUCAGGCUAUCUUUAUAAUUUUUUAUUAGUUUUGCGUUUGUUUAGAGUCCGCAAGCUCGUAGCUGAUUUCCUCCUUUAGAUACCACCUGUCGACGGUUUGACAGCCUCACACAAUUGAACGUAUGCCAAAAAGCCAAAGUGAGCUCUUCCGAUCAGAAAAGUGACGGCGUAUCCAUUUAAUUGAAAAUAGGCACAAGAUAACGCACAAUUGGCGUUCUUGCCUCAAUGGAGAAAUUUUUCCGUGGAACUUAUGACCGAAAUACCAUUGCAGCUGUUCAAAAAAAAAGAAAAGUGUAUUAUCAUGCAGAUGUUGACUAGCUAACAAUCCAGAGAUACGUCAACUUGCGAAAUUUCUAGAUGUGUGUGAAGCGCAAUCAGCAUCCUUGUUGAACUGUGAACCCAAAUCAUGUAUUUUCCUAGAAAUAUCUAGGUUUUUGGAUAAAUAAAUAAAAGUCAGUGAAAAAAUGUGA